rnacentral:rRNA from 1 species
UCUACGGGAGGCUGCAGUGGGGAAUAUUGGACAAUGGGCGAAAGCCUGAUCCAGCCAUGCCGCGUGUGUGAAGAAGGCCUUCGGGUUGUAAAGCACUUUCAGUGGGGAAGAAAGCCUUGGGGCUAAUACCCUCGAGGAAGGACAUCACCCACAGAAGAAACACCGGCUAACUCCGUGCCAGCAGCCGCGGUAAUACGGAGGGUGCGAGCGUUAAUCGGAAUUACUGGGCGUAAAGCGCGCGUAGGCGGUCUGAUAAGCCGGUUGUGAAAGCCCCGGGCUCAACCUGGGAACGGCAUCCGGAACUGUCAGGCUAGAGUGCAGGAGAGGAAGGUAGAAUUCCCGGUGUAGCGGUGAAAUGCGUAGAGAUCGGGAGGAAUACCAGUGGCGAAGGCGGCCUUCUGGACUGACACUGACGCUGAGGUGCGAAAGCGUGGGUAGCAAACAGGAUUAGAUACCCCAGUAGUC